rnacentral:rRNA from 1 species
UAUNGCGCAAUGGGGGCAACCCUGGCGCAGCNAUGCCGCGUGAAUGAAGAAGGCCUUCGGGUUGUAAAGUUCUUUCGGUAGCGAGGAAGGCAUUUAGUUUAAUAGACUAGGUGAUUGACGUUAACUACAGAAGAAGCACCGGCUAACUCCGUGCCAGUAGCCGCGGUAAUACGGAGGGUGCAAGCGUUAAUCGGAAUAACUGGGCGUAAAGGGCACGCAGGCGGUGACUUAAGUGAGGUGUGAAAGCCCCGGGCUUAACCUGGGACUUGCAUUUCAUACUGGGUCGCUAGAGUACUUUAGGGAGGGGUAGGAUUCCACGUGUAGCGGUGAAAUGCGUAGAGAUGUGGAGGAAUACCGAAGGCGAAGGCAGCCCCUUGGGAAUGUACUGACGCUCAUGUGCGAAAGCGUGGGGAGCAAACAGG